GGGUUGUGAGGUUAAGCGACUAAGCGUACACGGUGGAUGCCCUGGCAGUCAGAGGCGAUGAAGGACGUGCUAAUCUGCGAAAAGCGUCGGUAAGGUGAUAUGAACCGUUAUAACCGGCGAUGUCCGAAUGGGGAAACCCAGUGCAAUUCGUUGCACUAUCGUUAACUGAAUACAUAGGUUAACGAGGCGAACCGGGGGAACUGAAACAUCUAAGUACCCCGAGGAAAAGAAAUCAACCGAGAUUCCCCCAGUAGCGGCGAGCGAACGGGGAGCAGCCCGGAGUCUGAAUCAGCUUGUGUGUUAGUGGAAGCGUCUGGAAAGUCGCAGGGUACAGGGUGAUACUCCCGUACACUAAAACACACAGGUUGUGAACUCGAAGAGUAGGGCGGGACACGUGGUAUCCUGUCUGAAUAUGGGGGGACCAUCCUCCAAGGCUAAAUACUCCUGACUGACCGAUAGUGAACCAGUACCGUGAGGGAAAGGCGAAAAGAACCCCGGCGAGGGGAGUGAAAAAGAACCUGAAACCGUGUACGUACAAGCAGUAGGAGCCCACUAGUUGGGUGACUGCGUACCUUUUGUAUAAUGGGUCAGCGACUUAUAUUCUGUAGCAAGGUUAACCGAAUAGGGGAGCCGCAGGGAAACCGAGUCUUAACUGGGCGUUAAGUUGCAGGGUAUAGACCCGAAACCCGGUGAUCUAGCCAUGGGCAGGUUGAAGGUUGGGUAACACUAACUGGAGGACCGAACCGACUAAUGUUGAAAAAUUAGCGGAUGACUUGUGGCUGGGGGUGAAAGGCCAAUCAAACCGGGAGAUAGCUGGUUCUCCCCGAAAGCUAUUUAGGUAGCGCCUCGUGAACUCAUCUUCGGGGGUAGAGCACUGUUUCGGCUAGGGGGUCAUCCCGACUUACCAACCCGAUGCAAACUACGAAUACCGAAGAAUGUUAUCACGGGAGACACACGGCGGGUGCUAACGUCCGUCGUGAAGAGGGAAACAACCCAGACCGCCAGCUAAGGUCCCAAAGUCAUGGUUAAGUGGGAAACGAUGUGGGAAGGCCCAGACAGCCAGGAUGUUGGCUUAGAAGCAGCCAUCAUUUAAAGAAAGCGUAAUAGCUCACUGGUCGAGUCGGCCUGCGCGGAAGAUGUAACGGGGCUAAACCAUGCACCGAAGCUGCGGCAGCGACACUAUGUGUUGUUGGGUAGGGGAGCGUUCUGUAAGCCGUUGAAGGUGGCCUGUGAGGGUUGCUGGAGGUAUCAGAAGUGCGAAUGCUGACAUAAGUAACGAUAAUGCGGGUGAAAAACCCGCACGCCGGAAGACCAAGGGUUCCUGUCCAACGUUAAUCGGGGCAGGGUGAGUCGACCCCUAAGGCGAGGCCGAAAGGCGUAGUCGAUGGGAAACAGGUUAAUAUUCCUGUACUUGGUGUUACUGCGAAGGGGGGACGGAGAAGGCUAUGUUGGCCGGGCGACGGUUGUCCCGGUUUAAGCAUGUAGGCGGAUGUUCCAGGUAAAUCCGGAACGUCACUAACGCUGAGGUGUGAUGACGAGGCACUACGGUGCUGAAGUGACAAAUGCCCUGCUUCCAGGAAAAGCCUCUAAGCAUCAGGUAACAUCAAAUCGUACCCCAAACCGACACAGGUGGUCAGGUAGAGAAUACCAAGGCGCUUGAGAGAACUCGGGUGAAGGAACUAGGCAAAAUGGUGCCGUAACUUCGGGAGAAGGCACGCUGAUGGUAGGUGAAGUGACUUGCUCACGGAGCUGAAAUCAGUCGAAGAUACCAGCUGGCUGCAACUGUUUAUUAAAAACACAGCACUGUGCAAACACGAAAGUGGACGUAUACGGUGUGACGCCUGCCCGGUGCCGGAAGGUUAAUUGAUGGGGUUAUCCUCACGGAGAAGCUCUUGAUCGAAGCCCCGGUAAACGGCGGCCGUAACUAUAACGGUCCUAAGGUAGCGAAAUUCCUUGUCGGGUAAGUUCCGACCUGCACGAAUGGCGUAAUGAUGGCCAGGCUGUCUCCACCCGAGACUCAGUGAAAUUGAACUCGCUGUGAAGAUGCAGUGUACCCGCGGCAAGACGGAAAGACCCCGUGAACCUUUACUAUAGCUUGACACUGAACACUGGUCCUUGAUGUGUAGGAUAGGUGGGAGGCUUUGAAGUGUGGACGCCAGUCUGCAUGGAGCCAUCCUUGAAAUACCACCCUUUAAUGGCUGGUGUUCUAACGUGGGCCCGUGAUCCGGGUUGCGGACAGUGUCUGGUGGGUAGUUUGACUGGGGCGGUCUCCUCCUAAAGAGUAACGGAGGAGCACGAAGGUCAGCUAAUCCUGGUCGGACAUCAGGAGGUUAGUGCAAUGGCAUAAGCUGGCUUGACUGCGAGCGUGACGGCGCGAGCAGGUGCGAAAGCAGGUCAUAGUGAUCCGGUGGUUCUGAAUGGAAGGGCCAUCGCUCAACGGAUAAAAGGUACUCCGGGGAUAACAGGCUGAUACCGCCCAAGAGUUCAUAUCGACGGCGGUGUUUGGCACCUCGAUGUCGGCUCAUCACAUCCUGGGGCUGAAGUAGGUCCCAAGGGUAUGGCUGUUCGCCAUUUAAAGUGGUACGCGAGCUGGGUUUAGAACGUCGUGAGACAGUUCGGUCCCUAUCUGCCGUGGGCGCUGGAGAAUUGAGGGGGGCUGCUCCUAGUACGAGAGGACCGGAGUGGACGCAUCACUGGUGUUCGGGUUGUCAUGCCAAUGGCAUUGCCCGGUAGCUAAAUGCGGAAGAGAUAAGUGCUGAAAGCAUCUAAGCACGAAACUUGCCCCGAGAUGAGUUCUCCCUGACUCCUUGAGAGUCCUGAAGGAACGUUGAAGACGACGACGUUGAUAGGCCGGGUGUGUAAGCGUAGCGAUGCGUUGAGCUAACCGGUACUAAUGAACCGUGAGGCUUAACCUUACAACGCCGAAG
rnacentral:rRNA from 1 species